UUACAUUCAGUAGCCUAGCUACUUGUUUACACCCUUGUUUUUUGCGUACUAAUUGUUUCCUCGGCGGGCUUGCUCGCCGGUUGGACAAAACUAUAACCUUUUUAAAUCUUCAAUCAGCGUCUGAAUUAUUUAUAAUAAUUACAACUUUCAACAACGGAUCUCUUGGUUCUGGCAUCGAUGAAGAACGCAGCGAAAUGCGAUAAGUAGUGUGAAUUGCAGAAUUCAGUGAAUCAUCGAAUCUUUGAACGCACAUUGCGCCCCUUGGUAUUCCAUGGGGCAUGCCUGUUCGAGCGUCAUUUGUACCCUCAAGCUUUGCUUGGUGUUGGGCGUUUUGUCUUUUUCUUUAGUGAUUAGACUCGCCUCAAAGUCAUUGGCAGCCAGUGUUUUUGGUAGUAAGCGCAGCACAUUUUGCGUCUUAGUCCCUAGACAGUGGCACCCACAAAGCCUCUUUCUCACUUUUGACCUCGGAUCAGGUAGGGAUACCCGCUGAACUUAAGCAUAUCAAUAAGCGGAGGAAAAGAAACCAACAGGGAUUGCCCUAGUAACGGCGAGUGAAGCGGCAACAGCUCAAAUUUGAAAUCUGGCUCUUUCAGGGUCCGAGUUGUAAUUUGCAGAGGGCGCUUUGGCGUUGGCAGCGGUCCAAGUUCUUUGGAACAGGACGUCACAGAGGGUGAGAAUCCCGUACGUGGUCGCUAGCCUUCGCCGUGUAAAGCCCCUUCGACGAGUCGAGUUGUUUGGGAAUGCAGCUCUAAAUGGGA
rnacentral:rRNA from 1 species